rnacentral:rRNA from 1 species
UACGGGGGGGGCAAGCGUUGUUCGGAAUUACUGGGCGUAAAGGGUUCGUAGGUGGCUUGCUAAGUCAGACGUGAAAUCCCUCAGCUCAACUGGGGAACUGCGUCUGAGACUGGCAAGCUUGAGUGCAGGAGAGGAACGCGGAAUUCCAGGUGUAGCGGUGAAAUGCGCAGAUAUCAGGAGGAACACCGGUGGCGAAGGCGGGUCUCUGGGCCGAUACUGACGCUGAGGAGCGAAAGCGUGGGGAGCGAACAGG